ensembl:misc_RNA
UAAGCAGUCCUGAAGACUAAAGUCCUCUCUAUUUAACCACUCAGCAAGUAUAGCACAGGCUAUUGCCGGUCACGCUUCCGCCACACUGCCUUGCCAAUGUGCCUCGAUCCCGAGCUGGCUGAAUCGCCCCUAGUGGUGAGAAGGUAGUUCAGUCUCUAUGGCCAUUCAAAUCUGGGUCUUCC